AUUGAACGCUGGCGGCAUGCCUUACACAUGCAAGUCGAACGGCAGCACGGGAGCAAUCCUGGUGGCGAGUGGCGAACGGGUGAGCAAAGUAUCGGAACGUGCCCAGUCGUGGGGGAUAACGUAGCGAAAGUUACGCUAAUACCGCAUACGAUCUAUGGAUGAAAGCGGGGGAUCGCAAGACCUCGCGCGAUUGGAGCGGCCGAUAUCAGAUCAGGUAGUUGGUGGGGUAAAGGCUCACCAAGCCGACGAUCUGUAGCUGGUCUGAGAGGACGACCAGCCACACUGGGACUGAGACACGGCCCAGACUCCUACGGGAGGCAGCAGUGGGGAAUUUUGGACAAUGGGCGAAAGCCUGAUCCAGCCAUGCCGCGUGCAGGAUGAAGGCCUUCGGGCUGUAAACUGCUUUUGUACGGAACGAAAAGGUUUGGGCUAAUAAGCUGAGCUCAUGACGGUACCGUAAGAAUAAGCACCGGCUAACUACGUGCCAGCAGCCGCCGUAA
rnacentral:rRNA from 1 species